rnacentral:rRNA from 1 species
UGGGGAAUAUUGGACAAUGGGCGAAAGCCUGAUCCAGCCAUGCCGCGUGUGUGAAGAAGGUCUUCGGAUUGUAAAGCACUUUAAGUUGGGAGGAAGGGCAUUAACCUAAUACGUUAGUGUUUUGACGUUACCGACAGAAUAAGCACCGGCUAACUCUGUGCCAGCAGCCGCGGUAAUACAGAGGGUGCAAGCGUUAAUAGGCAUUACUGGGCGUAAAGCGCGCGUAGGUGGGUUGUUAAGUUGGAUGUGAAAUCCCCGGGCUCAACCUGGGAACUGCAUUCAAAACUGACUGACUAGAGUAUGGUAGAGGGUGGUGGAAUUUCCUGUGUAGCGGUGAAAUGCGUAGAUAUAGGAAGGAACACCAGUGGCGAAGGCGACCACCUGGACUAAUACUGACACUGAGGUGCGAAAGCGUGGGGAGCAAACA